rnacentral:sRNA from 1 species
CUUCUAAGGCAGAAUUGGAAAUUGCCAAUCCUCCUGAACUGCAGAAGCACCUAGAACAUGCACCUUCCCCAUCGGAUGUUUCAAAUGCACCAGAAGUGAAAGCAGGUGUCAAUAGUGAUAGCCCUAAUAACUGUUCAGGAAAAAAGGUUGGAGUAGAAGAGGUGAUCUGUGACAGCCCCAUCCAGGAAGUCAGUUUUGACAGACCCAGCUAAACUCAAAAAGCUGCAACAGAGUGGCGAGGCCUUCGUACAGGAUGAUUCUUGUGUGAACAUCGUGGCACAGUUGCCUAAAUGCCGAGAGUGUCGCUUGGACAGUCUCCGCAAGGAUAAGGAGCAACAGAAGGACUCACCUGUGUUUUGCCGCUUCUUUCACUUCAGGAGGUUACAAUUCAACAAACAUGGUGUGUUGCGGGUAGAAGGCUUCUUAACACCAAACAAGUAUGACAAUGAAGCAAUUGGCUUGUGGUUACCUUUAACCAAAAACGUUGUGGGGAUUGAUUUGGACACAGCAAAGUACAUCUUGGCCAACAUUGGAGACCACUUCUGUCAAAUGGUG